AUGAACGCUAGCGGCAGGCCUAAUACAUGCAAGUCGGACGGGAUUCAGGAGCUUGCUUCUGAUGAGAGUGGCGCACGGGUGCGUAACACGUAUGUAACCUACCUUUAUCAGGGGGAUAGCCUCUCGAAAGAGAGAUUAAGCCCGCAUAAAACCACAGCACAGCAUUGUGUAAUGAUCAAAUAUUUAUAGGAUAAAGAUGGGCAUGCGGAACAUUAGCUAGAUGGCGGGGUAACGGCCCACCAUGGCGACGAUGUUUAGGGGAUCUGAGAGGAUGGCCCCCCACACUGGUACUGAGACACGGACCAGACUCCUACGGGAGGCAGCAGUAAGGAAUAUUGGUCAAUGGGCGGAAGCCUGAACCAGCCAUGCCGCGUGCAGGAAGACGGCCCUACGGGUUGUAAACUGCUUUUAUACGGGAAUAAACCCAGAUACGUGUAUCUGGCUGAAUGUACUGUAAGAAUAAGGAUCGGCUAACUCCGUG
rnacentral:rRNA from 1 species